rnacentral:rRNA from 1 species
AUUGAACGCUGGGGGCAGGCCUAACACAUGCAAGUCGAGCGGAUGAAGGGAGCUUGCUCCUGGAUUCAGCGGCGGACGGGUGAGUAAUGCCUAGGAAUCUGCCUGGUAGUGGGGGAUAACGUCCGGAAACGGGCGCUAAUACCGCAUACGUCCUGAGGGAGAAAGUGGGGGAUCUUCGGACCUCACGCUAUCAGAUGAGCCUAGGUCGGAUUAGCUAGUUGGUGGGGUAAAGGCCUACCAAGGCGACGAUCCGUAACUGGUCUGAGAGGAUGAUCAGUCACACUGGAACUGAGACACGGUCCAGACUCCUACGGGAGGCAGCAGUGGGGAAUAUUGGACAAUGGGCGAAAGCCUGAUCCAGCCAUGCCGCGUGUGUGAAGAAGGUCUUCGGAUUGUAAAGCACUUUAAGUUGGGAGGAAGGGCAGUAAGUUAAUACCUUGCUGUUCUGACGUUACCAACAGAAUAAGCACCGGCUAACUUCGUG